GAAAGAAUUGAACACAGCCUUGCUGAAAAGGACCUGGGGUGCUGGUGGAUAGAAAGCUGGACAUUAGCCAGAAAUGUGCCCUUGCGGCCCAGAAAGUCAACUGUAUCCUGAGCUGCAUCAAAAGGAGCAUGGCCAGCAGGGUGAGGGAGGCGAUCCUGUCCCUCUACUCUGUGCUGGUGAGGCCUCACGUGGAGUACUGUGUCCAGAUGUAGAGUCCUCAGUACAGGAGAGGCAUGGACCUGUUGAUGCGCAUCCAGAGGAGGCUUCAAACAUGAUCCAUGGAAUGGAACACCUCUGCUAUGAGGAGGACAGGCUGAAAGAGUUGGGCUGUUCAGGCUGAAGAAGAGAAGGCUCUGAGCUAUGCUGUAUCUCUCACUUGGUAGCUGUAACAGA
ensembl:lncRNA